AAAGUGGGUGUGAGUCAGGCAGAGCUCCAGCGGCCUGGAGACCACAGACCACGGGGCUGGCACUGAGCCCUGGCUGCAGGAGGAAUGGACAGGAUUCUGGGAGCCUCAAUUCUGAUUCUCGGCCUCCAGAGGGCAUGGGUGAGCGGCCAACAGAACGGUAAAAGUAACCAGCAACAGGUGAAACAAAAUCCUCCGUAUUUGACAGUCCAGGAAGGAGAGACUUCGAUUCUGAACUGCUCUUAUGAGGACAGUGCAUUUGACUACUUCCCGUGGUACCGGCAGCUCCCUGGUAAAGGUCUUGAACUGCUGAUCACCAUACGAUCAGUUGUAAAUGAGAAGGAAGAUGGAAGAUUCAAAGUACUGCUCAAGAGGAGUGACAGAGAGCUCUCUUUGCAUAUCGGGACUUCUCAGCUUGGAGACUCAGCCACCUACUUCUGUGCAGCAGGAGCACAGUGCUCUCCAGACAGCUGCAGCCUGUGCACAAACCUGCCCUCGCUGCUAGAGCACGACCUGCCACAGACUUAGGCUAGGAGUGAUGUAAGCUACCUUAAUUUAUAGAAAUAGUUAUAAAUGGAUAGAUACAAACUCACUAGUGUGCUAGUACAAUAAGGUGGUCAAGGAACUAAACAAAAUAAACUCAGCUUCGUGAAUGAUCAAACUGUAAUGCUGAGAUUCCAUCUUAGUCCAGAAAGAAUGGCUAUUAUCAAGAAAUUGGCCAAUAACAAAUGCUGCUGGGGUGUGGAAAAAAGAACCUUGCUCCACUUUGAUGCCAGUAUAGAUGUAAUCACUGUGGAAAUCUGUGUAGAGGUUCUCUCUACUAUUCUCCUUCUUGACAUUCUUCCAAAAGAAUUAAAAGCAUCAUACCACAGCAGUGUAUGUGCACCCACAUUUAUAGCAGUAGUUUUUAAUAGGUAUUUUGGAAAUAACCCAAAUGCCCAUCAACCAAAGGGUGGAUAAAAAAGGCAUAUUUUUGUUACAAUGGAGUACUACUUGGUCAUAAAGAAGGAUAAAGUAGAGACUUCUGUAACUAAAUGGAUGCAACUCAAGACCACACUGUUAAGUGACGUUAAUUGGAAAAAGGUGUGAAUAUUGCAUUGCCUUAUAGAUGUGUGAACCUGAAAGUGUAAAUA